UGGGGAAUAUUGGACAAUGGGGGGAACCCUGAUCCAGCCAUGCCGCGUGUGUGAAGAAGGCCUUAUGGUUGUAAAGCACUUUAAGCGAGGAGGAGGGUACUGGUAUUAAUACUACCAGCUACUGGACGUUACUCGCAGAAUAAGCACCGGCUAACUCUGUGCCAGCAGCCGCGGUAAUACAGAGGGUGCGAGCGUUAAUCGGAUUUACUGGGCGUAAAGCGUGCGUAGGCGGCUAAUUGAGUCGGAUGUGAAAUCCCCGAGCUUAACUUGGGAAGUGCAUUCGAUACUGGUUAGCUAGAGUGUGGGAGAGGAUGGUAGAAUUCCAGGUGUAGCGGUGAAAUGCGUAGAGAUCUGGAGGAAUACCGAUGGCGAAGGCAGCCAUCUGGCCUAACACUGACGCUGAGGUACGAAAGCAUGGGGAGCAAACAGG
rnacentral:rRNA from 1 species